rnacentral:rRNA from 1 species
CAAUAGCGUAUAUUAAAGUUGUUGCAGUUAAAAAAGCUCGUAGUUGGAUUUCUGGCCGAGUGUCCCCAAGCAGACAGACGUCUUGUCUUGGGCGCUCUGCCAUCCUUCUGUUAACCUUCGCCUCGUUCGUUCGUGGCGCUGGGGCUCAGAUAUUUUACCUUUGAGAAAAAUUAGAGUGUUUCAGGCAGGCUUUCGCCGGAAUACAUUAGCAUGGAAUAAUGGAAAAAGGACUUCAACCUCUUCUGUUGGUCUGAGAGGCUGUAGUAAAUGAUUAAAUAGGGAUAGUUGGGGGGCAUUAGUACUUAAACUGUCAGAGGUGAAAAUUCUCCGAUUUGUUAAAAGACUAAACUU